rnacentral:rRNA from 1 species
GGAUGCAACUGCCUUAUUAUUAAUUCCGACAACAUGGAAGACAUCGUCACAAUGGAAAAUGGAGGACAAUCGGCAAGAGCGGCAGUUGCGGUCUUCGAUGAUUUCUACUUUUUGGCUUGUGAUUUCCCUUUAACCAGGUUAGAACACUGUAAUAGGGGAGCAAAUAAGGUGGCUCAUGAAAUAGGUAGAUUAUGGAAAUUCUCUGUGAGAAGGGACUAUUUUGAGGAGCCCAUGGAUGAAAUUCUACCUUUCCUUACAGACGAUGUAACUAUUAUUUCUAAUGAAUAA